rnacentral:rRNA from 1 species
AUGAACGCUGGCGGCGUGCCUAAUACAUUCAAGUCGAGCGAACAGACGAGGAUCUUUCUCCUCUUACUUUAUCGGCGUACGGUUUAGUAACACGUUGUUAACCUACCUAUAAUUCUUGGUUUACUUCGGUAAACCGUAGCUACUACCGGCUAAUAUAUUUAACCUCCUUGUUCCAUAGUUACAUUCGGUUUUUCUUUCACUUAUAUAUUGAUCCGCGCCGCAUUAGCUAGUUGGGAAGGUAACGGCUUACCAAGGCAACGAUGCGUAGCCGACCUGAGAGGGUGAUCGGCCAAACUGGAACGGAGACACGGUCCAGACGCCUACGGGAGGAAGCAGUAGGGAAUCGUACGCAAUGGGCGAAAGCAUGACGGAGCAAAGCCGCGUGAGUGAUGAAGGUCUUCGGAUCGUAAAACGCUGUUAUUAGGGAAGAAAAAAUGUGUAAGUAAAUAUGCACGUAUUGACGGUACCUAAUAAGAAAGCAACGGCUAACUACGUG